GGCAGCGUGGCACAGUGCUCUGAGUGUUGGAUUAAGGCACUGAAAGGCCAGGGUUGAAAUCCCUGCUUUGCCA